GGGGACCCGCAAGCGGUGGAGCAUGUGGUUUAAUUCGAAGCAACGCGAAGAACCUUACCAGGUCUUGACAUCUCCUGACAAUCCUAGAGAUAGGACGUUCCCCUUCGGGGGACAGGAUGACAGGUGGUGCAUGGUUGUCGUCAGCUCGUGUCGUGAGAUGUUGGGUUAAGUCCCGCAACGAGCGCAACCCUUGAUCUUAGUUGCCAGCAUUUAGUUGGGCACUCUAAGGUGACUGCCGGUGACAAACCGGAGGAAGGUGGGGAUGACGUCAAAUCAUCAUGCCCCUUAUGACCUGGGCUACACACGUGCUACAAUGGAUGGUACAAAGGGCUGCAAAACCGUGAGGUCAAGCGAAUCCCAUAAAACCAUUCUCAGUUCGGAUUGUAGGCUGCAACUCGCCUACAUGAAGCUGGAAUCGCUAGUAAUCGUGGAUCAGCAUGCCACGGUGAAUACGUUCCCGGGUCUUGUACACACC
rnacentral:rRNA from 1 species